rnacentral:rRNA from 1 species
UUGAACGCUGGCGGCAGGCCUAACACAUGCAAGUCGAGCGGAUGAAGGGAGCUUGCUCCUGGAUUCAGCGGCGGACGGGUGAGUAAUGCCUAGGAAUCUGCCUGGUAGUGGGGGAUAACGUCCGGAAACGGGCGCUAAUACCGCAUACGUCCUGAGGGAGAAAGUGGGGGAUCUUCGGACCUCACGCUAUCAGAUGAGCCUAGGUCGGAUUAGCUAGUUGGUGGGGUAAAGGCCUACCAAGGCGACGAUCCGUAACUGGUCUGAGAGGAUGAUCAGUCACACUGGAACUGAGACACGGUCCAGACUCCUACGGGAUGCAGCAGUGGGGAAUAUUAGACGAUGGACGAAAGCCUGAUCCAGCCAUGCCGCGUGUGUGAAGAAGGUCUUCGGAUUGUAAAGCACUGUAAGUUGGGAGGAAGGGCAGUAAGUUAAUACCUUGCUGUUUUGACGUUACCAACAGAAUAAGCACCGGCUAACUUCGUG